rnacentral:rRNA from 1 species
UAGGGAAUCUUCGGCAAUGGGGGCAACCCUGACCGAGCAACGCCGCGUGAGUGAAGAAGGUUUUCGGAUCGUAAAGCUCUGUUGUAAGUCAAGAGCGGGUGUGAGAGUGGAAAGUUCACACUGUGACGGUAGCUUACCAGAAAGGGACGGCUAACUACGUGCCAGCAGCCGCGGUAAUACGUAGGUCCCGAGCGUUGUCCGGAUUUAUUGGGCGUAAAGCGAGCGCAG